GCUCCAUCAGUGUACAUUAAAAUUGCUGCAGUUGAAAAGCUCGUAGUUGGAUUUAUGCCAAGAUUAUCUGGUCCAUCCUUUGGUUGAGAAACAGAACGGUUGAAAGCAAAUUGUUGAACAUUGUAGCUGCACUUAACUGUGUGGUGCCUGUCCAAGCUUGCCACCUUAAUGAAUUUGUUGUGCUUCAAGCAGGCAGAAGC
rnacentral:rRNA from 1 species